rnacentral:rRNA from 1 species
UACAGAGGGUGCAAGCGUUAAUCGGAAUUACCGGGCGUAAAGCGUGCGUAGACGGUUAUUUAAGUCAGGUGUGAAAGCCCAGGGCUCAACCUUGGAAUUGCAUUUGAGACUGAAUAGCUAGGGUGCGGAAGAGGGAAGCGGAAUUUCCGGUGUAGCGGUGAAAUGCGUAGAUAUCGGAAGGAACACCAGUGGCGAAAGCGGCUUCCUGGUCCAGCACCGACGUUCAGGCACGAAAGCGUGGGGAGCAAACAGG